UUGAGGUCAAUUCAGGCUAAGGCAUCUUCCCCAGACAGCUGCCAUUACUUUAGAAGAGGAAGGAAGGAAGGAAGGAAGGAAGGAAGGAAGGAAGGAAGAAAGAAAGAAGAAGAAGAAAGAAAGAAGAAGAGAAAGAAAGAAAAGAGAAAGGAAGAAAGAAAAGAGAAAGAAAGAAAAGAAGAAAAGAAAAGAAAAGAAAAGAACGAAAAGAAAGAAAAGAAAGAAAAGAGAAAGAAGAAAGAGAAAGAAAGAAGAAAGAAAGAGAAAAGAGAAAGAAGAAAGAAAGGAAAGAAAGAAAAAAGAAAAGAAAAAGAAGAAAGGAAAGAAAGAAAGAAAGAAGGAAAGAAAGAAAGAAAGAAAGAAGAAAGAAAGAAAAAGAAAAGAAAAGAAAGAAAGAAGAAAGAAGAAAGAAGAAGAAAGAAGAAGAAAGAAAAGAGAAAGAAAGAAAAGAAAAGAAAAGAAAGAGAAAGAAAGAAAAAAGAAAGAAAGGAAGAAAAGAAAGAAAGGAAAAAGAAAGAAAAAAGAAAGAAAGAAAGAAAGAGAAAGGAAAGAAAGAAAGAAAGAACGAAAGAAAAGAAAAGGAAAAAGAAAGAAAGAAAAGAAGAAAGAGAAAGGAAGAAAAGAAAGAAAGAAAAAAGAAAAAAGAGAAAGAAAGAAAGAAGAGAAAAGGAAGAAGAAAAAGAAGAAAGAAAGAAAGAAAGAAGAAGAAGAAAGAAAGGAAGAAAAGAAAGAAAGAAAGAAGAAAGAAAGAACGAAAGAAAGAAGAAAGAAAAGAAAGAAGAAAGAGAAAGAAGAAAGAAAGAAAGAACGAAAAAGAAAGAAAGAAAGAAAGGAAGGAAGGAAGAAAGAAAGAAGAAAGAAGAAAGAAAAAAGAAAAGAAAAAAGAAAGAAGAAAGAAGAAGAAAGAAAAAGAAAGAAGAGAAAGGAAGAAAGAAAAAGAAAAGAAAAGAAAGAAGAAAGAAAGAAAGAGAAAGGAAGAAAAGAAAGGAAAGAAAGGAAAAAGAAAGAAAGAAAGGAAAGAAAGAAAGAAAAAGAGAAAGAAAGAAAAGAGAAAGAAAGAAGAAAGAAAGAAGAACGAAAAGAAAGAAAGAAAGAAGAAAAAGAAGAAAGAGAAAGAAAGAAAGAAAGAAAAGAAAGAAAGAACGAAAGAAAGAAGAAAGAAAGAAGAAGAAAGAAAGAAGAAGAAAGAAAGAAAGAAAGAAAGAAAGAAAGAAAGAGAAAGAAAGAAAGAAAAGAGAAAGAAAGAAAGAAAGAAAGAAAGGAAGGAAGGAAGGAAGGAAGGGUGGGAGGGAGGGACAAAGGAAGGGAUGGGGAGGAAAGAAGGAAACAAGCAUGCAAAUGAGAAGGCUAAGAAUUCCAGGAUAA
ensembl:lncRNA